rnacentral:rRNA from 1 species
GAUGAACGCUAGCUACAGGCUUAACACAUGCAAGUCGAGGGGCAUCAGGAAGAAAGCUUGCUUUCUUUGCUGGCGACCGGCGCACGGGUGAGUAACACGUAUCCAACCUGCCGACAACACUGGGAUAGCCUUUCGAAAGAAAGAUUAAUACCGGAUGGCAUAGUUUUCCCGCAUGGGAUAAUUAUUAAAGAAUUUCGGUUGUCGAUGGGGAUGCGUUCCAUUAGGCAGUUGGCGGGGUAACGGCCCACCAAACCAACGAUGGAUAGGGGUUCUGAGAGGAAGGUCCCCCCACAUUGGAACUGAGACACGGGUCCAAACUCCUACGGGAGGCAGCAGUGAGGAAUAUUGGUCAAUGGGACGAGAGUCUGAACCAGCCAAGUAGCGUGAAGGAUGACUGCCCUA